UACGUAGGGGGCAAGCGUUGUCCGGAAUCAUUGGGCGUAAAGCGCGUGUAGGCGGUUUCGUAAGUCUGCUGUGAAAGUCGGAGGCUCAACCUUCGAAAGCCGGUGGAUACUGUGAGACUUGAGUACGGAAGAGGAGAGUGGAAUUCCUGGUGUAGCGGUGAAAUGCGCAGAUAUCAGGAGGAACACCUGUGGUGUAGACGGCUUUCUGGACCAUAGCUGACGCUGAGACACGAAAGCGUGGGUAGCAAACAGG
rnacentral:rRNA from 1 species